rnacentral:lncRNA from 1 species
UCCAAGUUCUCAAAGUUGAGAACUUCUAAGUCUCCACACUAAGAAAAGAUUGAUGAAGAAAUGAGUGACCUAGAGGAAGUAAGAUUGCUAGCUAUUUUCCUCUAGGGUGGCCGGCCUCUUUAGAGAGAAAAGAGAGUUUGUGUUCUCAUAUUUUCUCCAAAAGAAACCCUAAAUGAAUUUUGGCUAUAAAGUCAUAUUUAUA